GCCUCACGAUUUACUCCACAUAUCAGAAAUUGGUUUUUCUCUAGCUAUUAUAAAUAGUAUAAAUAGUUGUCCACUAGAAUAUAAAAUAUUAAUCUAAUAGUUAACAUAAAUACAAAAGUUUAAAUAGUACAAAAGAGUUUGUCUGUUUCUCUAUUUUGCAGUUAUUAUUGGAUUAUGAUACACCUAGGUAGUAAACUCGACCUAAACAGUAAUUUAUGAUGUAUCUACAGUGUUAUUAUAUACUGAACCUUAAUAGAUAUAAUG